CUGGGGUACUCGAGUGGCGAACGGGUGAGUAACACGUGGGUGAUCUGCCCUGCACUUCGGGAUAAGCCUGGGAAACUGGGUCUAAUACCGGAUAGGACCACAUUUUGGAUGGUGUGGUGGAAAGUUUUUCGGUGUGGGAUGAGCUCGCGGCCUAUCAGCUUGUUGGUGGGGUAAUGGCCUACCAAGGCGUCGACGGGUAGCCGGCCUGAGAGGGUGUACGGCCACAUUGGGACUGAGAUACGGCCCAG
rnacentral:rRNA from 1 species